rnacentral:rRNA from 1 species
CAAUAGCGUAUAUUAAAGUUGUUGACGGUUAAAAAGCUCGUAGUUGGAUUUCUGCUUGGGGCGGCCGAUGUGCCUCCUGGGUUACAGCCGGUUCGGCCUGAGCAUCUUCGUUGGGGGCUGUGUCUGCACUUGAUUGUGUGGCACGGGUUCCAGGUACUUUUACUUUGAGGAAAUUAGAGUGUUUCACGCAGGCGUCCGCCUUGAAUACGUUAGCAUGGAAUAAUGCGACAGGACCUCGGUCCAUUUUGUUGGUUUCUUGGGUUGAGGUAAUGAUUAACAGGGAUGGGUUGGGGGCAUUCGUAUUUAACUGUCAGAGGUGAAAUUCUUGGAUUUGUUAAAGACGAUCUACUGCGAAAGCAUUUGCCAAGGAUGUUUUCAUUGAUCAAGAACGAAAGUUAGGGGAUCGAAGACGAUUAGAUACCAU